UAAGCUAAGUGUUCACUCUUUUUAAUGCUCCUGAUUUUUGGGGUUGACCGCCCAUAUAGGACCGGUCACGUUUGAUCGGAUGGAUCCCAGCCCCCUCUUUGAUUUGAGGUUCCGAUAUGUCUGCCUCAGCAUUUGGCAUGACUAUGCCAAUCGUUAAGGUAGCUUUGCAUUUGUUAGUUAUGCCUUUUUUUUAGGUGUUAUUUGUGAAAUGAGAAUAUUAGGGGAUCUUGACCAAGAACUUAUGUAAGUUAUUUUAUUAGUGAAAACUUGCGUCCAUUUUAUUUAAUUUUACUCCAUUUUUGUGUUGGAAUUGCU
rnacentral:lncRNA from 1 species